rnacentral:rRNA from 1 species
UACGUAGGUGACCAGCGUUGUCCGGAUUUACUGGGCGUAAAGAGCGCGCAGGCGGUCGUUCAAGUCGAGUGUGAAAGCCCCCGGCUCAACUGGGGAGGGUCAUUCGAUACUGAUCGACUUGAAGGCAGGAGAGGGAAGCGGAAUUCCCGGUGUAGUGGUGAAAUGCGUAGAUAUCGGGAGGAACACCAGUGGCGAAGGCGGCUACCUGGCCUGUUCUUGACGCUGAGGCGCGAAAGCUAGGGGAGCAAACGGG